rnacentral:rRNA from 1 species
GGAUAACCUGCCCUUGGGACCGGCAUAACCCCGGGAAACUGGGGAUAAUUCCGGAUAACGCAUAUUUGCUGGAAUGCUUUAUGCGUCAAAAGGAUUCGUCUGCCCAAGGAUGGGUCUGCGGCCUAUCAGGUAGUAGUGGGUGUAAUGUACCUACUAGCCAGCGACGGGUACGGGUUGUGAGAGCAAGAGCCCGGAGAUGGAUUCUGAGACAUGAAUCCAGGCCCUACGGGGCGCAGCAGGCGCGAAAACUUUACAAUGCGGGAAACCGUGAUAAGGGGACACCGAGUGCCAGCAUCAUAUGCUGGCUGUCCGGAUGUGUAAAAUACAUCCGUUAGCAAGGGCCGGGCAAGACCGGUGCCAGCCGCCGCGGUAACACCGGCGGCCCGAGUGGUGAUCGUGAUUAUUGGGUCUAAAGGGUCCGUAGCCGGUUUGGUCAGUCCUCCGGGAAAUCUGAUAGCUCAACUAUUAGGCUUUCGGGGGAUACUGCCAGACUUGGAACCGGGAGAGGUAAGAGGUACUACAGGGGUAGGAGUGAAAUCUUGUAAUCCCUGUGGGACCACCUGUGGCGAAGGCGUCUUACCAGAACGGGUUCGACGGUGAGGGACGAAAGCUGGGGGCACGAACCGGAUUAGAUACCCGGGUAGUCCCAGCCGUAAACGAUGCCCGCUAGGUGUCAGGCAUGGCGCGACCGUGUCUGGUGCCGCAGGGAAGCCGUGAAGCGAGCCACCUGGGAAGUACGGCCGCAAGGCUGAAACUUAA